rnacentral:rRNA from 1 species
CGCAUAAGGGCGUACGGUGGAUGCCUUGGUACAAUGUGGCUAUGAAGGACGUAGCAGCCUGCGAAAAGCUUCGGGGAGGUGGCAAGCAACCUUUGAUCCGGAGAUGUCCGAAUGGGGCAACCCUUCUGUCGGAAUGGACAGAAACGCUAACCUGAAUUCAUAGGGUUAGUGAGCAGACCUGGGGAAUUGAAACAUCUUAGUACCCAGAGGAAAAGAAAAAAAUUCUGCAACAAUAUGAACUGCACAUCUUUUUGGUGUACAAGUUCAUAUCGUUGUGGUUAUUCCCUGAGUAGUGGCGAGCGAAACGGGAACAGCCAAAAUCUUUCUGAUGUACCCUGCCGCAAGGCAGGGAGAGACGCGCAAGCGGCUGUCAGGAAGGCGUUGCGAGAUUGUGUUAUCAGAGCUUGCGACUCUGAGGUAGGGACAUACGGAGUUUUUCUCGUUGUUCAGGCCGCAAGGCCCGAGCAGUGAGAAUUGCUUCUUUAAUCAGUAGUUGAACUGCCUGGAACGGCAGACCAAAGACGGUGAUAGUCCGGUAGGCGAAACUGGUUUAGCUCUACGACAUAUACUCUCGAGUACUGUGGGACACGUGAAAUCCUAUAGGAAUCCGGGACGACUACCGUCCCAAGGCUAAAUACACAUUGUGACCGAUAGCGAACAAGUACCGUGAGGGAAAGGUGAAAAGCACCCCGGAAGGGGGAUGAAAUAGUCUCUGAAACCGUAUGCUUACAAACAGUCGUGGCCGUGUACCACUCACUGCGUUCGGGUAACUCGGCAGGCCUCUGCACUUCGAAUAAAAUCGAGGUUUGCGGGGACUUGCCAUGAACCGGAGCACAGCGACUGGUGCAUGGUUACGGCGUGCCUAUUGAAGAAUGAACCAACGAGUUUGUUCAACGGAGUGGGCUAAGGCCGAAAAGGCCGGAGCCACAGUGAAAGCGAGCGUUAAUUUUAGCGCGAAAAAAUAUUUGAAACGAUUUUCGGAUAAAUCCGAAUUUCGUUUCAUAUAUUUAACAUUCUGUUGACAAGACCCGAAGCCGGGUGAUCUACCCAUGGCCAGGUUGAAUCCCGCCGAAAGGCGGGAGGAGGACCGAACCCGUGAGCUGUGCAAAACUCUGGGAUGAGCUGUGGGUAGUGGAGAAAUUCCAAUCGAACUCGGCGAUAGCUGGUUCUCCUCGAAAUAGCUUUAGGGCUAGCCUUGAAUGAUACUUCGCGGGGGUAGAGCUACUGAAUGGAUUGUGAUGGCGAAAGCCUACACGAUCCAACCAAACUCCGAAUACCGCGAAAUUUAAUUCAGGAGUCAGUCCGUGAGGUCUAAGCUUCACUGGACGAGAGGGGAAGAACCCAUGAUCUCUAACUAAGGUCCCUAAAUGAUCGCUAAGUGGUAAAGGUGGUUGAGCGAUUUUGACAACGAGGAGGUUGGCUUAGAAGCAGCCACCCUUUAAAGAAAGCGUAAUAGCUCACUCGUCAAAUUGCUCUGCGCCGAAAAUGUAUCGGGGCUCAAGCGGUCUACCGAAGUUGAGAACCGUGUACCACUCACUGCGUUCGGGUAACACGGCAAGUGUCCUUUUUUAAUAAGGGGCGCUAGCCGUGCAUCCGAGCAUAGCGAGUGGUGCACGGUGGUAGAGGAGCGUUCCCGUCUGCGAUGAAGUGAGAGUGGAAACUCUCGUGGAGCGGCGGGAAGUGCGAAUGUUGGUAUAAGUAACAAAAACGCAGGCGAGAACCCUGCGCACCGAAAAUCCAAGGUUUCCUGGGCAACGCAAGUCGUCCCAGGGUGAGUCGGUCCUAAGUCGAGGCUUAAAAGGCGUAGAUGAUGGACAGCAGGUUAAUAUUCCUGCACCAGCAAAUAAUUAUCCGGUUUAAGGACGCGAAAAAAGUUUGCGCACGUAAUUUGGUUAUGUGCGUCCCUGUCGCAAGACGGGGGCAGCGGAAGUCGAAAGAUGACUGCAAUGUGCAAAUGCAUUUCGCCUAGAAAAGUUAGCCGGUUUUUGGUUGUUUGCUGACCGUACCGUAAACCGACACAGGUGGAUCGGCGUAAAAGCGCCAAGGUGAACGAGAGAACCCUGGUUUAGGAACUCGGCAAAAAAGUGGCCGUAAGUUAGCAAUAAGGCCUCCCUGUACCACUCACUUCGCUUUGCUGCGUUCGGAUACAGGGCAAGCCCCCAAAUGUCCAGCACGACAAAAGGGGCCUGUCCCGUACCCGAGCGGAGUGGAACGGAGCGAGUGGUUCGGGGUGCAACUAAUGAUUUCAAGUGACUGUUUACCAAAAACACAGGUCCCUGCAAAGCCGAAAGGCAAAGUAUAGGGGCUGAUGCCUGGCCAGUGUCAGAACGUUAAGGGGAGAGGUGCAAGCCUUGAACCGAAGCGCUGACGAACGCCGGCGAUAACUAUAAUCGUCCUAAGGUAGCGAAAUUCCUUGUCGGGUAAGUUCCGACCUGCACGAAUGGCAUAACAACUUGAAAACUGUCUCAACCAGGGACUCGGUGAAAUUACAAGACGAGUAAAGAUGCUCGUUACCCGCAAUUAGACGAAAAGACCCCAUGAAGCUUUACUACAACUUGACAUUGUUGACGGGUAUGCGCUGCUGAGCAUACGUGGGAGACUUUGAAGUUCCGCCUCUGGGCGGGACAGAGUCGCCAAUGAAAUACCACGCUGUGUUUAUGCGUCAUCUAACAACUUCCCCUUACCGGGGAUCUGAACAGUGUCUGGUGGGUAGUUUAACUGGGGCGGUUGCCUCCUAAAAUGUAACGGAGGCGUUUACAAAGGUCGGCUACGCACGAAUGGAAACCGUGCGCGUAGGGCAAACCCACAAGCCGGCUUGACUGCAAGACCUACAAGUCGCGCAGCUACGAAAGUAGAAGUUAGUGAUCCGACGAUCCAUAGUAGGAUGGUCGAAGCUCAACGGAUAAAAGUUACUCUGGGGAUAACAGGCUGAUCGGGUCCAAGAGUCCACAUCGACGACCCGGUUUGGCACCUCGAUGUCGGCUCAUCGCAUCCUGGGGGUGGAGAAGCUCCCAAGGGUUUGGCUGUUCGCCAAUUAAAGCGGUACGUGAGCUGGGUUCAGAACGUCGUGAGACAGUUCGGUCUCCUAUCUAUUGCGGGCGCAGAUACUUGAGAAGAUUCUUCCCUAGUACGAGAGGACCGGGAAGGACGAACCUCUGGUGGAUGGGUUGUCGUACCAACGGCAUUGCCCAGUAGCUACGUUCGGUCGGGAUAAACGCUGAAAGCAUCUAAGCGUGAAGCCUCCUUCAAGAUUAGGUAUCAUUAUGAGCUCCCUUGUAGACUACAAGGUUGAUAGGCGCAAGGUGUAAGACCCGAAAGGGUUUGAGCCGAAGCGUACUAAUCGAGCCAGCGGC